GUCGUCUCAAUUAUUAAUUUAAUAAUAUAAAAUAUUGUGCAGAUGAUACUGUGACACCCCCAAAAUAGGUAUACAUCACCCAUCUUGGGUCGCCAGAAAAUACACUACUUACAACUCCAUUUAUACAAUUAUCGUGCAAAAUACAACAACUUAUAUACUGUGGGUUUCAAUACAAAUAUUGUUACGUAUAUAAUACGACAAUAUUCAUAUUUAAAUUAUUACAAUGCCAUAUAAAGUACAGCAGCAAGUAUAUCAAGUCCCUAAAUGGACACGAGAAGAUUUCUGUUCUCCUCAUUCUAAUGGAGUGCACCUUUGACGCUUCCAAAUUCUGAUUUCGCCUCACCCUAUUGUUGUUCACCAAAAUUAAAUAUCAAAUGAUGUAUAAAAUAUGUCACACCCAUUUUAAGUUCUCAGUACAAUUAUUAUGCCACACCGUUUCAUAAUUUGGUUAGGCUUGUGACUAAUUCGUAUACCACUUUAUACCUAUGUUCUCCCUGCUAGUCUCAGCUACACUUUUAUUACCUGAAAGGGGUGGUGAAAUAAAAGGGUGAGCACAACUAACUCAGUAAAGAAUAUCAUGACUUAAGAUAAUUAAAUUAUCAAAAGAAUUCAUAUAUUUAUAACAUAUGGUAAAAGAUAAAAGUUUUCAACCAUAAUAGCAGCGGAAUCAACAAUCCAUUAGAAGAGUCAAGUAGAACAUAAUGUCUACUAUAUUCUCUAGAUUAAAAGUCCAUCAUUAAUAUUUCAUUCCUGUAAUACUCAUCAAUAGUUCUUUGUUAUCCACAAGACAAAGAGAAAUCUCAUCACCUGUCUUCACCUGAACCACCACAGAUUAUAAUUAAAUUCAUAAUUCAUAUUUAUAAUCAGGUAAAUCAACAGUUCAUACAACUGUAAAAUCAAUAACAAACAGUUCAUCUUUGCACUACAGGCCAAAGAUAUACAACUAUAAAACCAAUAAUGCUGAGACUCAACUUAAUAGUAUCACGACCACGAAUUAUUCAUGCACUACGGGCCAAGGAUAUUCGUGUUUUCAAUUACGGUCAUGAUUAUACCGAAUAAUCCUUGGUCAUAAUCAUACCAAGUCCAUCUAUACACUACAGGCCAAAGAUGACUUUUACCACAUCAUUUGUAACAUUACGAUCAUGAUUAUACUGAAUAAUCCCUGGUCAUAAUCAUACCAAGUCCAUCUAUGCACUACUGGCCAUAGAUGACUUUCAACACAAUAUAAGUAUGAGAAUGAUGACAAUGAUAUAUAUAAUGAAUAAACAUAAAUCAUCAGAAUAAUAAGAUAACAUAGAUCUUAGUAUUUUUCAACUUAAUUAUCCAGAGUCCAAAUUGAUAAUAAUAGAUGAAUCACAAACUAUUAAGGAUAUUCUAAUCCUUUCAGGAAUUUUCACCAUUUAAUGCUAAACUGAAUAAACGAAUAAUAAUAUCUUACCAUAACAUGGGGUAUGAAAGAAAAUGAUAUGCCUUUUACCAUAAAAAAGAUACCCUCUUACCACAAUAAUGAUAUCCCUUACCUUAUCAUGUGACUUGAUUCUGCUUUCUGUGAAAUUGAUCAACUUAAACAAUGCUUGCAUUCCUUAGCUACACUUGGAGUAACAUCACACUCAAUAGAAAUACUCACAAUAUUAUACACACAAUAUUGUAGUAAUAAAAUUCUAUAUUUUUAGUGUAAUGAUGGUGUGUGUUUAGUUGCUCAACCGGGCAACCUAUUUAUACUGAAAAUUUAGUAAAUAAUUAGCACACCUGCUUUGACAAAAUAACCAAAUGAGGUAUAUGGUAGUGGAGUUUAUGGUCCCACAGAGAAAAUUAGACCAACUUGUACACGUUUUAAAAAUAAUUGAGUUGUGGUCCAGACUACUUUAAAAAAAGUAGAGUGUCGACAAGUCCUGCCAACUUACUUUUGUAAAAAAGAAAAUAAUUGAAUAAUCAUCUGUAUAUCAAACUUAUCUUUAAUCAACAACUUUUAUUCAUCAAUUAUUUACACAUUUUCAUUCUUUCAGGAAUUAUUCACCAUUAUUAACAAAGGUUCACAAUACUGCCAACUGGUUUAAUUAUAUCAUAUCAAAUAAUAUGAGUCAAUGUGCAAUAACUACUGUGACAAUUAUUGAAUGAAAGACUGAGUGGCUUCUUACGUAAAAAUCAAAUCAAUACAUUGCUAUAAACAAUUUAAAUUCUAUUAAAAGUAGGGAUCAACACCAAAUCAUAUUUAUCUCGAAUAACACAUAAACUAACUAACAAUUCAUUAUUCAUUCAAGUUAUCUCUAUUUAUUGCAUAAAAUCAUUAUUCAUAUUUCAAAACUUUAGAAGUGGAUAAUUAAAACUUGAGAAAUCUAAACCUCAUAUAUGACAAUCCACUAUUGUGGUAUCAUCACAAUUUUUACUUUAACAAAAAUAUUAUUUUUGUUUUUUAUCAUAACUCAUUCGUUACUAGUGCGUUUACAUCCUGACACCUCAUGAGCAUACUAACACUUCUAAAAUAUUCAAAAAUAGGAUUCUGAAUUUUCCAAGUAAUUUUCAUAUUUUUCAGAUUAACCAACAAUUUUCAAUAAUUAUUUCUAUUUAUAAAAACUAUCAUUUAAUAGCUUCAAAUUAGAAAUACUAACUCCACAUAAUUAUAUAUCUUAAAAACAUCAUCAAUAUUAAUCUUAUAUUAUUAUAACAUUUUUCAGCAAAAAUCUUAAUUUUCCACCAUUCAUAGAAUUUUCUAUGAAUUUCCUCUACUUUUAAACUAACCAUAAAUAGUUUAAAUAUAUAAUAAAUAUUUCUGUUAUUCAAUAAUUUUCCAAAACUAUCCAAAAAAUUAUAAAAUAACAUUAUAAGAUUUUUCACCAAAUUUCAUAAUUUUUCAUCAUUCAUGGAAUAUUCUAUGAAUUUCUUCUAUUUUCAAACUAACUAUAAUUAGUUUUAAAAUACAAUAAUUACUUCUGCUUUUCAAUAAUUCAUCAAAAAUUUACAGAAAUUCUAAGAUGAUAUAAUAAGCAUUCUGUAAAAAUAUUUCAACCCAAAUCAUUUUUUUGAUAAUUUAAUUAUAAACUCCAAUAUUCAGAAAUUUCAAUAAUUCAUAAUAAUUAUCCUUUUAUCAGAAAAAUAAAGAUCUUAUGCCCUUUUCAUGUAAAAUUUAAUUCUCUACAACUUUGUAGAAGAAAGUUUUCCCAAAUUCUGACUCUAACAUAGAGAUAUAUUCUUACCGAAAAAUUCUGCUUGAAGAUUUCCGAACCAGCCACCUCACAAAAUUCAUAACAAAUCAUAAAUUAAUCUUUAACGGUUCAGACUUUGCAGACAUAUACUUAACUUAUAUGUAUAACAUAUCCGAAAAUCACAACGAUCCAACGGUCGGAUUAACAAUUAUAACUCACACAACAGAGCUUAAUAAAACUGAUUUUUCGGACUAUAAGUCAUUCGGACCAGUUCUACUCAAACUGUCACCACGAAAAAUCUACAAAGAAUUUUUGGGUGAUUCAAAUUUCUGUAGUUAGCUUACUUUCAGGGCUUUCUUUUGAUAUAUGGCUCAUCUCCUAACUCAUUAUACACAAAGAGUUAUUGAUUUUACAAAAUUAAGUAGUAAACUAGUUUUAUGAAAAUCUCCAUAUUUUGUUCUUCAUUUGAUUUCUAGAUUUCUCUCACUUGACUCAUGUUUAUACAAGUUUAAAUCAUUCAACAUAUACAUAAGUAUUUACUCUUUACAUAAAAUCCAUAAAACUUAAAUCUAAGAAUAAAUCAAGGAUUUAUAAACAUACCUUCUUAAUUUUCUCAAGCUUUUCCAUUACACCCACUUGAUUCUCUCACUAGCUUCUUGGAUAUUUUAUUGGAUGAAGAUAAAUAUGGUGAUCAUAGAAUGAUUAAGGAUGAAGAAGAUAUGAAAUUUUUGAUUUUCUCUUCUUCCUCCUCCUCAUCUCUCUCUCUCUCUCUCUUUUAUUUCUGAUUUCCCGUGAGUAGAAAUGGGUGAAUAUCUCAUCUCUUUCUUCUUCUUCUUCUUCUCAUUCUUCUCUCUCUCUCUUCUCUAUUCUUUUCUCUCCCCUAAUCUAAGCCUCCCGUGAAUGGAAGAAAUGGGGUGCAUUCUUUUUAUUUCCUUUUCUCUCUCC
rnacentral:lncRNA from 1 species